UCUUAUGGAUGAGCAAAGAAAGUAGUUUCUUGAGAUGGAAUCUACACUUGCUGAAGAUGCCAUGAA
rnacentral:pre_miRNA from 1 species